rnacentral:tRNA from 1 species
GGGGCAGUGGUGGAAUGGCAGACACGGAAGUCUUAAAAACUUCUGCCUUCGGGCGUGUGGGUUCGACUCCCACCUGCCUCA